rnacentral:rRNA from 1 species
GACGAACGCUGGCGGCGUGCCUAAUACAUGCAAGUCGAGCGAAGUUUUUCUGGUGCUUGCACUAGAAAAACUUAGCGGCGAACGGGUGAGUAACACGUAAAGAACCUGCCUCAUAGACUGGGACAACUAUUGGAAACGAUAGCUAAUACCGGAUAACAGUAUUUCUCGCAUGAGAGAUAUUUAAAAGUUGGUUAUGCUAACACUAUGAGAUGGCUUUGCGGUGCAUUAGCUAGUUGGUGGGGUAAAGGCCCACCAAGGCGACGAUGCAUAGCCGACCUGAGAGGGUGAUCGGCCACACUGGGACUGAGACACGGCCCAGACUCCUACGGGAGGCAGCAGUAGGGAAUCUUCCGCAAUGGGCGAAAGCCUGACGGAGCAACGCCGCGUGAGUGAAGAAGGAUUUCGGUUCGUAAAGCUCUGUUGUUAGGGAAGAAUGGAUAUGUAGUAACUAUACAUGUACGAGAC